rnacentral:sRNA from 1 species
AUAGAAUUUGUAUUCAUAUUGUUCAUUAAGAAUGAGUUCAUCAAAGAGUCGUUAUGCCACCAAGAAAGGAAGAUAGCGCAGCAAAGCAUUUGCUUGAGGAUGUACAAUCUUCUAACAGGAAUGGUGCUAGCAAAGGCGCAGAGAAAGAUAAUGGACCAGGCACGGCAUAUAUUCUGAAACCCCCUUCAGAGAUUAAAGAACCAAAGGGUUCUAGAAGCAAAGCUCAAAAAUAAACAAUACCAAAUCACAAACAGGUUUACUUUCAAGUACUUAUGUGGAAAGAAAAUAUGCAGCAACGUGAAGAUUCAAUGUUCUUAUUUCUAACUUCGUUUAGAGUAUAGUGUUUACAAACUAAUGUGACCUAAGAAAUAAGUCUACGUUGUUAUUAGUUAGUAAGUUAUGAUUUGGG